UUUCCCCUCAGGCCUAGUGUGCCCGCUGCGAGGGCCUCUGCGGCUCGCGGGCGCCGGCAUUUUCUGGGACGAAGGGCCCCUCAGUCCCUGGUUCUGGGACCCGAUCCCCUGGGGCUGGAGAACCGCUGUUGCACCCAAUACGGCCAGGGGUGAAAAUGACCUGUUUGUCGCCCAGAAUGCUACAGUUACGCGUAACAGAAACGGAGCAGUCGUGUCCUUACCAGCCGUCUCCUGGUUCGGCCAUGUGGGCCUUUGCUGUCCUGGGAUCUGGCACCGCUCUCCCCAGACUCCACAAGUGGCAGCCCCAGCUCCUCACCUCCGCCUUCUCUGUCUCCAGCCGCUUACCCCUGUCGAGUGGGUUCCGUCUUCUUUGCUCUGUGCACGGCCUUUCCUACCGGAUUUGCGCCCAGUGAACCGCUGUUGGGUUGAUGUCUUCCUCAUCCAUAUCUACUCGAGGCACAGUGCCUAGAGCACAAGCGUUGAAAAAUAAGGAAAUCUGAAAAACAACCACAAGAAACUUGUCGACUCCAAAAUACGAAGAA